rnacentral:lncRNA from 1 species
UUAUCUACAGCAUUUAAAACUUUUAGAAAUUAAAUUUUUUAAUUUUUCGAUAUCAUUUACCUUACGAUCAAACGGUCACAAAAUUGACAAUUUUCAACGGCCGGUAUGAGAUAUUUGCUAGUUUAACGGUGAAAAAGAAUCGAAAUAUGUUAAAUUUUUGAUAGAAAAUUCUAUUCACUACUUAAAUAAAGAUCAAUAACUUCGAUCUUAAAUUGAAGGAUCCGAUCAUCUAUUUUUAGGAUGUCAUUCGAUUUUAACAGCUCAUUUUAUACUCGCUUGAUAGACUUUAUAAUGAUUUCGAAAAUUUAUGAAAUUUAUUUUCUAGAAGUUUCAAAUACUCUAAAUCAUGUUUAACGGUGUGAAUCGUCGAUUUGGAAGCCCCAACAUCGAAAACAACUUAUGAGUAGUAAGGGUUCUAUACUCAUAAGAGUAUAGUAGCCCUACUCUCUCUCUCUCUCUCUCUCUCUCUCUCUCUCUAUCUCUAUAUAUAUAUAUAUAUAUAUAUAUAUAUAUGAGUGUAACACUUAUUUUUUCAUAAAAUCUCUUAUGAUCCACAUUAACCCGACUUCUUUUAUUAUUAUUAUUAUUAUUAUUAUUCUUUUUUACUAAAAAUUUAAAAGAAUUGUACUAAUUUUUAGUCCAAGAGUGGAAAAUUUAUGUUGGUACUAAUAGGUUUUCGGCCUUUGGAUGAAGGGAAGUGCGGUUAGGAUGAUAGUUGUCUUCUAGGGUCGAGUGAGCAGUUGGAUGAAUAGUAUAAUCUAACGAAGUCGAUCGUUGAUUCAGAAGUCCUAAAAUCGAAAACAACUUGAUAGCACGAAGACCUCCAUGCUUCUAAAAGAACACAAAUCGGACAAUACAUAUACCGAGAGAGAGAGAGGGAAAGAGAAUUGAGCUCGUAUACUUUUGUAAGUACAUGAGCAUUUAUGCUUGUGACGUUUUAGCCGUCGG